rnacentral:rRNA from 1 species
UACGUAGGGGGCUAGCGUUGUCCGGAAUCAUUGGGCGUAAAGCGCGUGUAGGCGGCCCGAUAAGUCCGCUGUGAAAGUCCAGGGCUCAACCCUGGGAUGCCGGUGGAUACUGUCGGGCUCGAGUCCGGAAGAGGCGAGUGGAAUUCCUGGUGUAGCGGUGAAAUGCGCAGAUAUCAGGAGGAACACCAAUGGCGAAGGCAGCUCGCUGGGACGUGACUGACGCUGAGACGCGAAAGCGUGGG